CCGUACUUUUUAAUAAUUAUGUAUCAUUCAUUGGAAACAUGGAUUCAUCGGGAUGUCACGCACACAUCGCAAUUAUAUAUCUUCCUAUGAUAAAACUAUGAUAUUCGUUCCAGUUAGUUAAUAAUGUGUGUGUGUGUCACAAAAAAAGAAUGUGCAGAUCCGAGCGGCAACCAUGUUGGACUUCUUCUAAACUGUCGUGUUACGCGAGUGAUUUUUUACCUAAAUUUAUUUGGGUUUAUUAUUGAGCCUGAGUGAUAAAGUGAUUAGAUCCAAUUUCUAUAGCCAGAUGAUAGAUAAGCAGCAAUUUCCUAAUGUUUGCCAAUGGGCUAUCAGAUAAAAUUCAAGAAAACCAGUUAUCUCGGCCUUCAACUGGUAGAAUAGAAGACAUGCAAUAGUUUUAUCGCAAUUUAAUAUCCAAUAAAAUAAAAAAUAAAAAUGAUUGAAUAAAAACAAAAGUUCAU